CUUUCUGGGAAUACUGCACUUGGGACCUAGAAGAGAUUCUAGCAUUUGGCAGUGCAGUACAUGAGAUGAACUGGGGAAAAGCUGUCUCAUGCAAGGUACAAGGGAACUGGGAGCGAGUCAAGAUGUAAUCCAGAUAAUAAACUUCUACUAAUGAACAAGGUGGUUCUGGUGCUCUGUUGAGUAUUGCUGGUCGUGACUGGAGACGUCUGAAAACCUGGGAGAGAUGCCAAGGGUGGAAGGCCAGGGAAAGUUGAACAAGAAUGUUGGGUUCCUGGCCGAUAUAUUUGCAUCCUCAAAGAAGAAAAGGAAGAGGAGGAGACAGAGGACCUGCUGCAAGAGACGAACCAUCCAACUAAAUAAAUCUAUACACUUAUUACGGGAGACCUUAGCAACUUUAUCCCUUGCCACAUGCUGUAGCAUGGAAACCACUGGUCAACAGUCACCAAGAAGAGAUGGAUAAACAAGGACUUGUUUAUCCUUGGACUUGGGCAAGAGUGACAUGUCUACCCACCAUACAUAUGGUGGGAUGGGAAGAGGCUACCCCACAGUUUCCUGCUUCAGGAAAUGUAACUAAGUUAGUGGGGGAAGCUUGGACAAUAAAAAGAUUGACUUGGCUAACAUGACAUUUGUCACUUUACUCUUACU